UACAGAGGUCUCGAGCGUUAGGCGGAAUCACUGGGCUUAAAGCGUGUGUAGGCGGAUGCCUAAGUACCUUGUGAAAUCCCACGGCUUAACCGUGGAACUGCUUGUAUACUGGGUGUCUUGAGCCACUCAGGGGCGAGCGGAACAAAUGGUGGAGCGGUGAAAUGCGUAGAUAUCAUUUGGAACGCCAAUGGCGAAGGCAGAUCUCUGGGCCGUAACUGACGCUGAGGAGCGAAAGCAUGGGGAGCGAACAGG
rnacentral:rRNA from 1 species